CACCUGUGAUGAAAAAAAUUUUUCAGUUCUGCUUCUGUAAAUUUAUUGAAGAUAACAAAAUCUUACCAAACCUUCUGAUCU
rnacentral:snoRNA from 1 species